rnacentral:lncRNA from 1 species
AUCAGUGUGAGUGUUGGAAAGAGCUUGCAGGAGGCUCGUACUUGACCCAAAACCAGGAACACUAGGCACACCUAUGCCGCCCAAUGUACCCCACCAGCCCAGCAGACCCCAUAUCAAUCCCGGGUGAGAACUCCAGUAACUGCAAAUAAACAUAUAAAUGCAUGAAACUAUUAACAUGUGCAAGUUGUGAUAAAAACUGUGUGCAACCAUUGUGGUUUUUUAGUCAUUACACAACAGUACAUAUAAAUACUUACGUGCAGGUACCAGGGACAGGAGAAUUUGGGUCAAAUGGAGGUGUGGGAAUGGUAGGGGUGCCUGGAGUGAUGGAUGGUGGGCUUGGGGUGAUGGUAUCAGGAGGGCUUGGGGUGACAAUAUCAGGAGGGCUACCGCCUCCGUAAGUUGGAGGAGAGUUGUAACCACCACCGUCGGAAGGAGGGCUACCGCCUCCGUAAGUUGGAGGAGAGUUGUAACCACCACCAUCGGAAGGAGGGUUUGAUGGAAUUGAUGGGGUUGAUGGGGUGCUAGGUUCAUUUGGUGGAUUUCCACAGUUUGAAGGUGGUGAUGGAGUUGGGUUGUAG